GACGAACGCUGGCGGCGUGCUUAACACAUGCAAGUCGUACGGUAAGGCCCUUUCGGGGGUACACGAGUGGCGAACGGGUGAGUAACACGUGCGUAACCUGCCCACAACUUUGGGAUAACGCUAGGAAACUGGUGCUAAUACUGGAUAUGUGCUCCUGCUGCAUGGUGGGGGUUGGAAAGCUCCGGCGGUUGUGGAUGGACUCGCGGCCUAUCAGCUUGUUGGUGGGGUAGUGGCCUACCAAGGCGGCGACGGGUAGCCGGCCUGAGAGGGUGACCGGCCACAUUGGGACUGAGAUACGGCCCAGACUCCUACGGGAGGCAGCAGUGGGGAAUAUUGCACAAUGGGCGCAAGCCUGAUGCAGCAACGCCGCGUGCGGGAUGACGGCCUUCGGGUUGUAAACCGCGUUCAGCAGGGACGAAGCUUUUUGUGACGGUACCUGCAGAAGAAGCACCGGCUAACUACGUG
rnacentral:rRNA from 1 species